GUAACUAUAGUUUAUAAAAACGCUAGAUUGUGAAUCUAGAAAUAAAGGUUGAAACCCUUUUAAUUACC
rnacentral:tRNA from 1 species